rnacentral:rRNA from 1 species
AACACAUGCAAGUCGAACGAUGAAGCAGAGCUUGCUCUGUGGAUUAGUGGCGAACGGGUGAGUAACACGUGAGUAACCUGCCCUUGACUCUGGGAUAAGCACUGGAAACGGUGUCUAAUACCGGAUAUGAGCUUCAGCCGCAUGGCUAGGAGCUGGAAAGAAUUUCGGUCAAGGAUGGACUCGCGGCCUAUCAGCUAGUUGGUGAGGUAAUGGCCCACCAAGGCGACGACGGGUAGCCGGCCUGAGAGGGUGACCGGCCACACUGGGACUGAGACACGGCCCAGACUCCUACGGGAGGCAGCAGUGGGGAAUAUUGCACAAUGGGCGCAAGCCUGAUGCAGCAACGCCGC